rnacentral:sRNA from 1 species
AAUGCUCCGCACUGGGGAAGGAUGAGAAGCUUCGAUAAGGUUCGAGUCUCACGCAGUNNGUGAGUCGCGCAGCGACGAAUUAUCCUUCCCCCACCACCA